CUUGACAUCCAGAGAACUUGGCAGAGAUGCCUUGGUGCCUUCGGGAACUCUGAGACAGGUGCUGCAUGGCUGUCGUCAGCUCGUGUUGUGAAAUGUUGGGUUAAGUCCGCAACGAGCGCAACCCCUAUCCUUUGUUGCCAGCGAUUCGGUCGGGAACUCAAAGGAGACUGCCGGUGAUAAACCGGAGGAAGGUGGGGAUGACGUCAAGUCAUCAUGGCCCUUACGAGUAGGGCUACACACGUGCUACAAUGGCGUAUACAAAGAGAAGCGACCUCGCGAGAGCAAGCGGACCUCAUAAAGUACGUCGUAGUCCGGAUUGGAGUCUGCAACUCGACUCCAUGAAGUCGGAAUCGCUAGUAAUCGUAGAUCAGAAUGCUACGGUGAAUACGUUCCCGGGCCUUGUACACACCGCCCGUCACACCAUGGGAGUGGGUUGCAAAAGAAGUAGAUAGCUUAACCUUCGGGAGGGCGUUUACCACUUUGUGAUUCAUGACUGGGGUGAAGUCGUAACAAGGUAAGCGUAGCGAG
rnacentral:rRNA from 1 species